GAUGAACGCUAGCGGCAGGCCUAACACAUGCAAGUCGAGGGGUAGAGGCUUUCGGGCCUUGAGACCGGCGCACGGGUGCGUAACGCGUAUGCAAUCUGCCCUGUACUGAGGGAUAGCCCAGAGAAAUUUGGAUUAACACCUCAUAGUAUUUUAGUGUGGCAUCACAUUAUUAUUAAAGGUUACGGUACAAGAUGAGCAUGCGUCCCAUUAGCUAGUUGGUAUGGUAACGGCAUACCAAGGCUACGAUGGGUAGGGGUCCUGAGAGGGAGAUCCCCCAAACUGGUACUGAGACACGGACAAGACUCCUACGGGAGGCAGCAGUGAGGAAUAUUGGUCAAUGGUCGCAAGACUGAACCAGCCAUGCCGCGUGCAGGAUGAAGCAUCUAUGGUGUGGAAACUGCUUUUGUACGGGAAGAAACACCGCUACGUGUAGCGGCUUGACGGUACCGUAAGAAUAAGGAUCGGCUAACUUCGUGCCAGCAGCCGCAGUAAAAC
rnacentral:rRNA from 1 species